AUGGCGCAGGCUGCCGUCGAGCCCGCGGCGAGCGGCGGCGCGUUCAUCGGGAGGCCGGCCGAGGCCCCGAGGNNNNNNNNNNNNNNNNNNNNNNNNNNNNNNGAAGAGCAGUUGAAGCGACGCAUGUCUGAAAAGGUUGCCAAUGAUCAGUCACUCCCUUCCGCGGCGUUUGAUAGGCCAAGCAAUGCGCCUCGGAACCCAGAGCAGCAGAAAAUAUCCAAAUACAUCAGCACUCGUGUCACAGAGGUGUUCCCAGUUAAAAAAUCCAGAAACGCCGGGAAGGAAAAUUGUAAGGAUGCUUUACUGAACAAUGAGAAGGCUCCCAAGUCUGCUGAUGCUGUAACGGCUUCACAGUCUGCAGAAUCUCCGUUUUCACGCAGCAAUGGCGACUCUGCCCAGUUGGACUCUUCUGUUCCAUCGCUCGCGGAAGCAGCAAAACCAGGUUUUAGGAAAGCUGAAAAAUGCAGCAAGAAUGCUUUGCGGAGUGUAUCAGAGCUUCACAUUGGCGAUGAGAAGCAGGCUGGCUCUAGCAAAUUUGACAUGGACAAAGUGAUGAAAGGGUUCGGAGCUCGUGGUGCUUCUGGAGCUUCCAGUGGCACUAACAUACAGGCUGGUGAUGUUCCUUUGAAGUCUUCAGAGGUGUGCCCUUCCAAGAUCACAAUACCAGGAAAAAGAGCUCCUUUGGAUCUCACCUUGAAGACAACCCUGCAGUUUGUUUCAUCAUCUUCUGUGAAGUGGUGUCACAAUUUGAGUACAAGUUGUAGGGGCACUGUUGCUGGAGGUAGGUCUCAAAGUUCAGGACGCACGAGGCAAGAGAGCAACAAGGAAUUCUUGUUCUCGAAGGCACUGCAGUCAUGGGUAUACCCACAAUCCAUGUUACCUGCUCCCAUUGUAUCUGCUAUGCUCUCAUCAACUGCACGAGGAGAAAAAGAUUUCAUUCACAAAAGGUAUCAGGAUUGGGAAGAUUCUUUUCAGAAUCUUUACUACAUGUUCCGGAAGAAUCUGCUGAAUAUCUUCUAUGUUUGUACGGCACAAUUUGUUGCUCUAUUUAUCAGCGGAAACUGUUUGGAGAAGCAGUCCUGUAAUGCCUACCUAUCACAAUCUACACGUGGCAUGAGGUCACUACUACGAAAACAGGGUGUUUCCUUUUCUAUGCCCCUUUGCAAGGCCGAAAUGGAGCAGGCUACCGAAGACGACCUGAUCGAAUUCUCAAAAAUCCGAACACUCAACCUGGGCCAGACACUUCAUAUAGAUGCUUUAUCCGAGGUGGACAACACCACGCAGUCACUCCUUUCAUUUACUGGCAAUAAGAGCGUUCAUGGCUUAUAUGAUGUCUUGUUGAACUACAAGUCCUUUCUGAAUUCAUUAUCUGCCACAGACGUCCCAGUGCUAUAUUCACCGGUGCCAUUUCGAAAUGGUUCCCUCCAUAUUCCGGAGGUAAUAUGCAGGGAGAUGAGGAAAGCCGACAGCGGCCUGGCCUCGUCUAGCGUUUUGGAUGAUGCAGGAGAACCUGGAUCAGCAGCGUCUGAUCCUCCUCUUGCGGCGGGCAGCGUGUGCUACAGCAUGGAGAUAAAGGACGCGGCUCUCCCGCCGUGGGUCGUCUCGGGCGUCUGCGCCGCGAUGACCUCAGACACGGACCGCUUUGAUCUGACGAUCGCGACGGAGCCCUCCUCCUUGGGCCUGAACGCCGCCUUGGCAUCCCUAGGCGGCGGCGCCCAGUCGAAGACGACGCCACCGGAAGGCGGCUGUGAGGCCUUGGUUGUCCCUGGCGCCGUCCUGGUCCCCUUGCUGCGCUCGGCGGCGCUCCGGGGACUAAGGUACGAACGCGGCGAGUACCUCGCGCGCACGACCGCGUGA
rnacentral:rRNA from 1 species